UUUACGUUUACUUUUGACAUUAGAUAUGCUAUACAAUGCGUCUUAACCUUUGACCCUAGGUCCUGGUACUGGAGGUUAGACAGCGGCAACUCCUUCAUGGUAUCGGUGAACCAUCUCCCCCUCAGUGCUCAGAAGAUGAGGGCUUCUUACCUGUGCAGUGCAAGUUUGUCAACACCACUGACAGAAUGAUAUUUGAUCUGUUACACACCUUUAACAGAGACCCAGAGGUGUUCCAGACCUUCAGUGCUUUCAGAAAGGCCUACCCAGAGCUCUGCUCUCUAGUUAUUGUUUCUGUGCAGACAGUCGCGGAAGAGAAAUGUCAAGCACAGGUGAUAGCCUACAUACCUCUUCAGUUAUAUCCAGGUUAAAGAUCUAAGCCGAGAGCUUUAGGUUUAAACACCACAAAGAGUUAUCCAUAAACUAUUACCAUUGUGUAUUUGCAUUUGCACCCCAGGGAGACUGUGAUUCUAAGUUGUGACAUUUUGUGUGCUGUUAAAAAGAUUAGUUUUGAGUUUGGUUUGUCUAGGUGUGGAGCUGCUGUUGGUUGAGGUGUACGACACAGCAUUUUCAGACCAGACUCCGGGAAGUACAUUUGCACAGUCAAACAUAUAUCGAAUCCUACAGCUCCGCAACCUUGUCAUCCAGUUGGCUGUCCAACCAAAUGUGAGAGUGAACGGGCUGCAGCUACUCAGGCUGGCAAUUCCUUUGUACCCUCCUGUGCUGAAAACAAGGCUGAUUCACUGCUGUGUGCACUUUGGAAGGUUUAAAUGCAGAGCACGAAUUCUGAGUAUGGGUCACCACAUUUUUUCACUUUCGUUUCAUGAUGUCUCUUUAGCAUCAGUAAAUCUUGAAUGAUAUUACUAAUAAACAUAAGUAAUGUUCAGGUAGUUAGAUAAUG
ensembl:lncRNA